UCUUCUUCUUCUUCUUCUUUCCUAUCCUUCUUCUCCUCUCCUAUUCUCAACAGAACAGACAGCACCCGACACCUAUCUUUUUCCCUCCUUUUUUUAUACUCUUUGUUUCUUUUCUCUCCUUUUCUUCUCUCUUAUUCUAUUCUGUUGUAUUUUUCACUCUCAUCAGAUGCCUUUUUUAAAAACACAGCAGUUUGUAUUUUAUUAAGUUUUCUCUUAUCAAGAAGAAUCUCAAUAUUAAGCAAAUGAAAAAAAUCGGGCCACACCUCUGGAUACACCCAUUUGCAUGCUUUACUGAUAUCGCAUCACUACUUCCCUCAUCAGUAUCUGGUUCUGAUAGAAUUGAG
rnacentral:misc_RNA from 1 species